AUGGGGCGCAGCAGGCGCGAAACCUCCGCAAUGCGGGCAACCGCGACGGGGGGACCCCCAGUGCCGUGGCAUCGCCACGGCUUUUCCGGAGUGUAAAAAGCUCCGGGAAUAAGGGCUGGGCAAGGCCGGUGGCAGCCGCCGCGGUAAUACCGGCGGCCCAAGUGGUGGCCGCUAUUAUUGGGCCUAAAGCGUCCGUAGCCGGGCCCGUAAGUCCCUGGCGAAAUCCCACGGCUCAACCGUGGGGCUUGCUGGGGAUACUGCGGGCCUUGGGACCGGGAGAGGCCGGGGGUACCCCUGGGGUAGGGGUGAAAUCCUAUAAUCCCAGGGGGACCGCCAGUGGCGAAGGCGCCCGGCUGGAACGGGUCCGACGGUGAGGGACGAAGGCCAGGGGAGCGAACCGGAUUAGAUACCCGGGUAGUCCUGGCUGUAAAGGAUGCGGGCUAGGUGUCGGGCGAGCUUCGAGCUCGCCCGGUGCCGGAGGGAAGCCGUUAAGCCCGCCGCCUGGGGAGUACGGCCGCAAGGCUGAAACUUAAAGGAAUUGGCGGGGGAGCAC
rnacentral:rRNA from 1 species